rnacentral:rRNA from 1 species
GUUGCCAUCAGGUAAUGCUGGGGACGUCUAAAGGAACUGCCUACGCAAGUAGUGAGGAAGGCGGGGAUGACGUCAAAUCAGCACGGCCCUUACGUCCAGGACUACACACGUGCUACAAUGGCCGAUACAGAGGGCAGCUACCUGGUGACAGGAUGCAAAUCUCCAAAGUCGGUCUCAGUUCGGAUCGGAGUCUGCAACCCGACUCCGUGAAGUUGGAUUCGCUAGUAAUCGCGCAUCAGCCAUGGCGCGGUGAAUACGUUCCCGGGCCUU